rnacentral:rRNA from 1 species
AGGAAAGCAGGGGAUCGCAAGACCUUGCGCUCUUGGAGCGGCCGAUGUCUGAUUAGCUAGUUGGUGAGGUAAAGGCUUACCAAGGCGACGAUCAGUAGCUGGUCUGAGAGGACGACCAGCCACACUGGGACUGAGACACGGCCCAGACUCCUACGGGAGGCAGCAGUGGGGAAUUUUGGACAAUGGGGGAAACCCUGAUCCAGCCAUGCCGCGUGAGUGAAGAAGGCCUUCGGGUUGUAAAGCUCUUUCAGCCGGAACGAAACGGUCACGGCUAAUACCUGUGACUACUGACGGUACCGGAAGAAGAAGCACCGGCUAACUACGUGCCAGCAGCCGCGGUAAUACGUAGGGUGCAAGCGUUAAUCGGAAUUACUGGGCGUAAAGCGUGCGCAGGCAGUUUUGUAAGUCAGAUGUGAAAUCCCCGGGCUUAACCUGGGAACUGCGUUUGAAACUACAAAGCU